CCGAUGUUUCCAGUAAAAAACAGCCUGUGAGCAGAGCGAACAGCAGCAGAGGGAAGAACGCAGACAUGCCAGUCCUGCCACACAGCCUCACAUCCAUCCCAUUCUCCUCCUUCUGCCCACACUGCUCUGCAGGGAGGAUGCAGUGAUGGGCAAGAGCUCCGGUCACCUCCCUGCUCGUUUCGGGGACCCGCAGGCAGACACCUGGCCUGCACAGCAGACACGUCCUACAGGGAUGCCCCCCUCCAGCUGCAUCCCAGGAACGGCCCCACCAACCACCUCCACUGUUCCUGUUGCUCCUCCUGUGCAGCACCUGGCCCUGCACCAAGCUGGUCCUCCCAAGCACUUGUCAUUCGCUCUCUGCCCUCUCCUCCCCUCUUAAAAAAAGAAAGAAAACAAAACUGCUUCCCCACAGGCCGCAGACAGGAGAUGCAGGUGCAGGCUGCACAAAGCUAAUGAGCUCAGACCCCGGCACCCUGCACACUUGCAUGCACAAGAUGCCCGGCGCUUUGAAGAACACAAAUGAAAAGAGCAGGAGCACAAGUGCGUGCACCUGUAGGAGACGCAGGGCUCCUCCCAGCCCAUGGGCAGGCACACAGACAGAAGGACAUGGCAUGCUCCGGGGCCCACAGAAUGCUCUCUGCUGCUGGCAGAGUGAGGGACCACCACUGCCCUCGUGCCCAGGCUCACACCGCCCUGAGGCUGUGCACCUCGCCCUAUCCUGCAAGGAAACCCCCCAGGGGAGUGCUGGCGGUGGCGUAUCUGAAUCACUCCGUAGGUCAGCGGGAAGGAAACGUGCCCCAGCUUCAGCCAGUCCUGCCCAAAUCAGUUCCCGGCUUUCCUGAUCGCACCUCAGGAUCCUGCACUUGUUUUCCUUCUUUGCUUUGUAUGGGGCGGAAGGGGCGGAAGGGAGCUGCCUCCUCCCCUGCCCAGCAGCAUGCUUGCCAGCUGCCCACAGCCGCCUCAGCAACCAGAACCCGCAGCUCCCUCCCAUCCUUGUGCAGUGCUGGGAGCCCUGGGGAUGGGCUUUGUUUUGCACAGCCCGUUUCUUUGAGGCACUCGGUCUCAAGCAGGGCUGCAGGGCACCCACUGCUGUGCUCAGUGCUGGGGGCAGAAAGGCAGCACGGAACCAUCCACCACGAAGUCCCCAGGCGUGGGGCUGCAGCUCCGCGCAGAGAGCCGGAGGUCCUCCGAUGGUUCCAGGCCCUCGGAAUGGCG
rnacentral:lncRNA from 1 species